UCGCGGGUAGAUUCAUUGGUAGAUAUCGAUCCUACCAAUAAGCUCGCCACUCUCAGCAUCUCUCUAUAAUUUGAGAAUUAAUUAAAAAAAUUAAAUAACUAGAGAAUUAUAUGCUAAUUAGAAAUUAAAAAUUACCUACUAUGUUCUUCAUGUGACGAGCAAACGAUCUCGAACCCCCACAAUGCGGCACGACCUGUCUCGCCUGGUUCACUGCAUUCUGGGCA
rnacentral:lncRNA from 1 species